rnacentral:rRNA from 1 species
GAUGAACGCUGGCGGCGUGCCUAAUACAUGCAAGUCGAGCGAACGGACGAGAAGCUUGCUUCUCUGCUGUUAGCGGCGGACGGGUGAGUAACACGUGGAUAACCUACCUAUAAGACUGGGAUAACUUCGGGAAACCGGAGCUAAUACCGGUUAAUAUUUUGAAUCGCAUGGUUCAAAAGUGAAAGACGGUCUUGCUGUCCCUUAUAGAUGGAUCCGCGCUGCAUUAGCUAGUUGGUAAGGUAACGGCUUACCAAGGCAACGAUGCAUAGCCGACCUGAGAGGGUGAUCAGCCACACUGGAACUGAGACACGGUCCAGACUCCUACGGGAGGCAGCAGUAGGGAAUCUUCCGCAAUGGGCGAAAGCCUGACGGAGCAACGCCGCGUGAGUGAUGAAGGUCUUCGGAUCGUAAAACUCUGUUAGUAGGGAAGAACAUAUGUGUAAGUAACUGUGCACAUCCUGACGGUACCUAAACAGAAAGCCACGGCUAACUACGUG